rnacentral:misc_RNA from 1 species
CCAAUAGCGUAUAUUAAAGUUGUUGCAGUUAAAAAGCUCGUAGUUGAAUUUCGGGGUUAGUAAGUUGGUCAUGCCUUCGGUAUGUACUGGCUUUACUGAUUCCUCCUUCUUGACGAACCGUGAUGUCAUUAAUUUGGUGUUGCGGGAAAUCAGGACUGUUACUUUGAAAAAAUUAGAGUGUUUAAAGCAGGCUAACGCUUGAAUACAUUAGCAUGGAAUAAUGAAAUAGGACGUUAAUCCUAUUUUGUUGGUUUCUAGGAUCGACGUAAUGAUUAAUAGGGAUAGUUGGGGGCAUUAGUAUUCAAUUGUCAGAGGUGAAAUUCUUGGAUUUAUUGAAGACUAACUACUGCGAAAGCAUUUGCCAAGGAUGUUUUCAUUAAUCAAGAACGAAAGUUAGGGGAUCGAAGACGAUCAGAUACCGUCGUAGUCUUAACCAUAAACUAUGCCGACUAGGGAUCGGAUGAUGUUAUCUUAAUGACUCAUUCGGCGCCUUACG